CUUCAAUCCUUUUUCUCUACAAGAGUAAACUGCUUGACUUGGCAUUGCUGGUACCUCCUAGAAGAUAGAGAGAGCCUGGGGUCCUAAUCACAUCCUACUCUCCCAGGCUAUGCAAACGAGAUGGGAGCUGUAGUCCACUGCAUCUGAAAUAUUUCGGUUUACCUGUCCUUGUCCGGUAGUCCUAGGAUUAAUGUUCAUUGUAAACCAUUCUCGACUAAACGUGAAUAAAUGCAUCAUUCUUUUUUUUUUUUAAUUUAACCAGGAAGAUAUCU